rnacentral:lncRNA from 1 species
UCGGGCGCGCCGCGCGGACACUCACCCGCCCGCGGCCGCCCGGGAGCGGCAGCGCCACCCUCCCGCUUCAUCGUGCCCCCGCGGCCGCCGGCCGGGAAAGGGACAGGGCGCGCGAGCCGGAAGCGCUCAUGCGCUGCGCCCGCCGGGACUUGUAGUUCUCGGACUCUCGAUGCCGGACUGGCUGCCUCACGCGCGGCUCCUCAGAAACUACAACUUCCGGCGGCUCUGACGUUGCAGGGCGGGAUUGGCAGCUUUAGAAUCACUCUAUGUUGCAGGUCGGAGUCUGAUUGGUUGAUUCCGGCUGUCGCUCACGGUGAUGUUGGAUGGCCCGUUGCAAAAGGAAGCAGCUUCGCGUGUCGGGUCCGAGAGACCGGGAGCGUAUCAGCGGUGAGGGAGGCGGGUACUUCCGCCAGGAUGGCCCAAUCGCAGUGGUGGGACAGUUUCUAUAAAAGCUCGAGCCUCGGGCUUUCGCGUUCUUUCGGGAUCGAGUGCGGGUAUAGCUUGUUUUCUUUUUUUGCCGCCAUGCUCCAAGGCCAUGGGAGCCCUGGGCCCCGAGGGCGUUUGAGGGGGUCCCCCAAGCCUGCAGGCGGGCCUGGCCCACUUUCGCCUCGGUGUUGUUCACGUUUUUUGCUCCGCCCCCUUACCCCGUUCGGUCGGGGAAUUCCGAAGCUCCAGGUCUACGUCUUCCUGCAGGGCGGUGGGUGACCCGGCUGGAGACUGUGAACGUGAGUGGACGUCAGCCUGGAGGCCUGCUGACGACCCUUUGGGAGCACUGGCUCAUCCCCGUGCAGUCCUGGGACACGGCGGAGGAAGAUGGAUGUUGAUGCAGUGACAUCCCCACUGUUGGAACUGCCUUCUCCGUAUUUCCUUUCAAGGCCAAAAAUACCGGGGUUUUCUUGGCCUUUGCCUUGGGUAGGUCAGAAACUCUUUUAAUUCUUCAUGAACAGGCCACGUAGCACUGUUUGCCCUUGGGUCUUGUGGGGGGAGGUGGACACAAACCACCUAGGCUCCCCCGUGCUCCCUAGACACCAUUGGGGUUCCACGUAACCUAGUUAAAG